rnacentral:rRNA from 1 species
ACCCGCACAAGCGGUGGAGGAUGUGGUUUAAUUCGACGCAACGCGAAGAACCUUACCAGGGCUUGACAUCCCCUGACCGCGUAUGAAAGUACGUUUUCACCCUCGGGUGACAGGGAGACAGGUGGUGCAUGGUUGUCGUCAGCUCGUGUCGUGAGAUGUUGGGUUAAGUCCCGCAACGAGCGCAACCCCUACGUUUAGUUGCUAACGCGUGAAGGCGAGCACUCUAGACGAACUGCCGUUGACAAAACGGAGGAAGGUGGGGAUGACGUCAAAUCAUCAUGCCCCUUAUGUUCUGGGCUACACACGUGCUACAAUGGCCGGUACAGACGGACGCAAAGCCGCGAGGUGGAGCAAAUCCUAAAAAGCCGGUCCCAGUUCGGAUUGCAGGCUGCAAUUCGCCUGCAUGAAGUCGGAAUCGCUAGUAAUCGCAGGUCAGCAUACUGCGGUGAAUACGUUCCCGGGCCUU